GAACUUUCCAGAGAUGGAUUGGUGCCUUCGGGAACUUAGAUACAGGUGCUGCAUGGCUGUCGUCAGCUCGUGUCGUGAGAUGUUGGGUUAAGUCCCGCAACGAGCGCAACCCUUUUCCUUAUUUGCCAGCGGGUCAUGCCGGGAACUUUAAGGAUACUGCCAGUGACAAACUGGAGGAAGGCGGGGACGACGUCAAGUCAUCAUGGCCCUUACGGCCAGGGCUACACACGUGCUACAAUGGUCGGUACAAAGGGUUGCUACCUCGCGAGAGGAUGCUAAUCUCAAAAAGCCGAUCGUAGUCCGGAUCGCAGUCUGCAACUCGACUGCGUGAAGUCGGAAUCGCUAGUAAUCGCGGAUCAGAAUGCCGCGGUGAAUACGUUCCCGGGCCUUGUACACACCGCCCGUCACACCAUGGGAGCUUGUUGCACCAGAAGUAGGUAGUCUAACCGCAAGGAGGACGCUUACCACGGUGUGGCCGAUGACUGGGGUGAAGUCGUAACAAGGUAGGCGUAGAUGA
rnacentral:rRNA from 1 species